UCGCCGAUGUCGAUUAUCGUAGUUAUGGCCCGCUUGCGCUUUCUUUGUUCCCGGCCUCUGAUAAUAUCGCAUCGGAUCACAGUGCACGGAACAAUUUGUUGAGCUAUUACGUGCUGUAGUUCAUCCGCAAUUCAACAGUGUUUACGUCGGAAGGAUGGUCGUGCAGUCGACGCCGCGACCUGACAUGAAGGAGCGUUUGCCGACUACGCCUAGAAAGGGAUGUCAAGAUUUCGUGAACCAGAGGCACCGCAUAGGAACCUAAGACAUUUCUGCAGCCGGAACAGCACGGCAAAGCAUCUGAUCUGCAUGCUGCGACAAGGUAUGGCUGGGCCUGGUGAUGAAGUGUAAGCAGAACAUGCUAUGCUGCGAAUUGGUGCCAAUCUUCACAUCCGAGUUGUUCCCACGACAGUCAAGCACCACUGUGAUUUGCUUCAUUGGCAAGGUAAUAUACUAUGGUGCCCUGCAAGCUCUCACCAAAGCAACACAUUCCACUGGUUUUCUGUCAGAGUACCAUUAUAGAAUUUCGAAUAAACUAUGCUUGUCAGAUGUG